CCUACGGGAGGCAGCAGUGGGGGAUAUUGCACAAUGGGGGAAACCCUGAUGCAGCGACGCCGCGUGGGUGAAGAAGUAUUUCGGUAUGUAAAGCCCUAUCAGCAGGGAAGAAAGAAGACGGUACCUGACUAAGAAGCCCCGGCUAACGACGUGCCAGCAGCCGCGGUAAUACGUAGGGGGCGAGCGUUAUCCGGAUUCACUGGGUGUAAAGGGAGCGUAGACGGCCGUGCAAGCCAGGAGUGAAAGCCCGGGGCCCAACCCCGGGACUGCUCGUGGAACUGUGCGGCUGGAGUGCGGGAGGGGCAGGCGGAAUUCCUGGUGUAGCGGUGAAAUGCGUAGAUAUCAGGAGGAACACCGGCGGCGAAGGCGGCCUGCUGGACCGCGACUGACGUUGAGGCUCGAAAGCGUGGGGAGCGAACAGGAUUAGAUACCCCGGUAGUC
rnacentral:rRNA from 1 species